AUCUUUCUCUCAACAUUCUCGUCAAUAAAGUCUGUUCUUAUCAGCUUAAUAUCUGAUACGGGUCCUAUUUGGACCCAAGAUAUUAAACUUAUUUUUGGAAUGGGGCGGAGUGCUUGAAGCUUGCUUCACCUCCGCCACGGGUUGGCCCGGUAUUGCACUAUCUCCGGGAUCGGCCCACUCACC
rnacentral:snRNA from 1 species